rnacentral:rRNA from 1 species
AUUGAACGCUGGCGGCAGGCCUAACACAUGCAAGUCGAGCGGAUGAAGGGAGCUUGCUCCUGGAUUCAGCGGCGGACGGGUGAGUAAUGCCUAGGAAUCUGCCUGGUAGUGGGGUAUAACGUCCGGAAACGGGCGCUAAUACCGCAUACGUCCUGAGGGAGAAAGUGGGGGAUCUUCGGACCUCACGCUAUCAGAUGAGCCUAGGUCGGAUUAGCUAGUUGGUGGGGUAAAGGCCUACCAAGGCGACGAUCCGUACCUGGUCUGAGAGGAUGAUCAGUCACACUGGAACUGAGACACGGUCCAGACUCCUACGGGAGGCAGCAGUGGGGAAUAUUGGACAAUGGGCGAAAGCCUGAUCCAGCCAUGCCGCGUGUGUGAAGAAGGUCUUCGGAUUGUAAAGCACUUUAAGUUGGGAGGAAGGGCAGUAAGUUAAUACCUUGCUGUUUUGACGUUACCAACAGAAUAAGCACCGGCUAACUUCGUG